rnacentral:rRNA from 1 species
GAUGAACGCUGGCGGCGUGCCUAAUACAUGCAAGUCGAACGAAACUUCUUUAUCACCGAGUGCUUGCACUCACCGAUAAAGAGUUGAGUGGCGAACGGGUGAGUAACACGUGGGCAACCUGCCCAAAAGAGGGGGAUAACACUUGGAAACAGGUGCUAAUACCGCAUAACCAUAGUUACCGCAUGGUAACUAUGUAAAAGGUGGCUAUACUACCGCUUUUGGAUGGGCCCGCGGCGCAUUAGCUAGUUGGUAGGGUAAAGGCUUACCAAGGCAAUGAUGCGUAGCCGAAGUGAGAGGGUGAUCGGCCACAUUGGGACUGAGACACGGCCCAAACUCCUACGGGAGGCAGCAGUAGGGAAUCUUCCACAAUGGGCGAAAGCCUGAUGGAGCAACGCCGCGUGGGUGAAGAAGGUCUUCGGAUCGUAAAACCCUGUUGUUAGAGAAGAAAGUGCGUGAGAGUAACUGUUCACGUUUCGACGGUAUCUAACCAGAAAGCCACUGCUAACUACGUG